GACAUUGUUCAACGGCCGCGGUAUCCUAACCGUGCGAAGGUAGCGUAAUCACUUGUUCUUUAAAUAAGGACUAGUAUGAAAGGCACCACGAGAGUCAUGCUGUCUCCUUUCUCUAAUCAGUGAAACUAAUCUCCCCGUGAAGAAGCGGGGAUAAAAAUAUAAGACGAGAAGACCCUAUGGAGCUUUAAACAAGUAACACCUGCCCAUCAAAUUUCCAAUUUCAGAAAAAUUUUCUACCCCGGCAUCAUGAUUAUUAGUUUUCGGUUGGGGUGACCGCGGAAUAAAAACUAACCUCCGCAAUGAAAGACACUCAUCUACUUAAUUAAGGGCCACAACCCCACACAUCAACAAAUUGACACUAAUUGACCCAACAUGUUGAUCAAUGAACCAAGUUACCCUAGGGAUAACAGCGCAAUCCGCUUCAAGAGCUCCUAUCGACAAGUGGGUUUACGACCUCGAUGUUGGAUCAGGGUGUCCUAGUGGUGCAGCCGCUACUAAAGGUUCGUUUGUUCAACGAUUAAAACCCUACGUGAUCUGAGUUCAGAC
rnacentral:rRNA from 1 species